rnacentral:rRNA from 1 species
UUGGAGGGCAAGUCUGGUGCCAGCAGCCGCGGUAAUUCCAGCUCCAAUAGCGUAUAUUAAAGUUGUUGCACUUAAAAAGCUCGUAGUUGAAUUUCGGGAUCAAUAUGCUGGUCGUGCCAUUGGUACGUACUAGUAUUAUUGGUUUCUUCCUUCUGAUGAAUCAUGAUGUCAUUAAGUUGAUGUCAUGGGGAAUCAGGACUGUUACUUUGAAAAAAUUAGAGUGUUUAAAGCAGGCUCGCGCUUGAAUACAUUAGCAUGGAAUAAUGAAAUAGGACGUUUGACUCUAUUUUGUUGGUUUCUAGGAUUGACGUAAUGAUUAAUAGGGAUAGUUGGGGGCAUUAGUAUUCAAUUGUCAGAGGUGAAAUUCUUGGAUUUAUUGAAGACUAACUACUGCGAAAGCAUUUGCCAAGGAUGUUUUCAUUAAUCAAGAACGAAAGUUAGGGGAUCGAAGACGAUCAGAUACCGUCGUAGUCUUAACCAUAAACUAUGCCGACUAGGGAUCGGAUGAUGUUAAUUUUUUAAUGACUCAUUCGGCGCCUUACGGGAAACCAAAGUGUUUGGGUUC